CACGUAGGGGGCAAGCGUUGUCCGGAUUUAUUGGGCGUAAAGAGCUCGUAGGCGGUUCGGUAAGUCGGGUGUGAAACCUCCAGGCUCAACCUGGAGACGCCACCCGAUACUGCUGUGACUAGAGUCCGGUAGGGGAGCGUGGAAUUCCUGGUGUAGCGGUGAAAUGCGCAGAUAUCAGGAGGAACACCAGCGGCGAAGGCAGCUCUCUGGGCCGGUACUGACGCUGAGGAGCGAGAGCGUGGGGAGCAAACAGG
rnacentral:rRNA from 1 species